GUCAUCUGGUCCCCUGACUGACUCUCUCUCUCAAACGGGCUUUUUGUCAGCAUCCCUAACAUUUCCACAAAUCAAAUUUCCCUGUAAGGAAGUAAAGAAUGAAGCAACCUCGGUGGGAAUCGGCAUAUUCCAUCACUUCGACAACAAACAUGCCGCUGCAAGUCGCAUCAUCGGAUGAAUGAGCUUGGAAAGCUCCAGUGGGAGGUGUGGCAUUGCUGUAACCGUCGUUGGCAAACUCCCACGAUGGAUUAUAUUCUGACCCUAGGCCCCCGACCCGCAGUGUAUUUUAUACAAGCGAAGAAGAGGAUGGUUUAAUCUGGGUGGGACCAACUUCUCAAGCACAUGCUUAAUCCCCUGGAUCUCCUCAGUCACCUUUCACCUUUGCAUCGUCCACAGUCCUGGUGAUUGAAGGCUGCAUUCGCUGACUUACGAGGACGGUGCCGUGGUCCCUCCCUGUCCUGCUCUGGUUUGCGUUAGCGCCUGCUUGGUGUGGAUACAAGAAUGCGACUGAAACGCUUUAGUAGCAAACUUUUUGGAUGCUUUGAUGAUGGUUUUCCCACACGGACGGCUUUGGUUGCAAGAAGAGGAACUUCUAACUCACCAGCUGGCUGCCUCGUACCUCACAGUCAGCUUUGUUCAAACCGGAUCAUGUGAUAUCUGCUAGACACAACAAAAACAGGUUCCCUGAUCACCAUUCAAAUGUGACCCCCAAUGCUUGUGAUUAGCAACAACCGCUCCACACAGGUGUUCGCACCUAUGAUGAUGCGAUGGAUGCCCGGCGGUGUUUGAUUUUCUAUAACCAGCUCAGACUGGAUGUCUGCUCGCACAGCGUGAAGGAAGCACCAAUGGUAGCCUUUUGUCGCUAAAUCAAAGGCCCCCACAGAGGAGAAAAUGGCAUGCUGGGACCAAAACAGAUGGCGAUGGAUCUUUAAAUGACCCCUUUUCACAGACCAGCGUGUGUUGAACACACGCUCACUUAAAGGUGGCCUCGUAUGCUACUGUAGGAGUGUGUGUGUGUGUGUGUUUCUGGUGGUGUGUGAUUUCUGUGAUGCCAUCAAUUCUGAAGCUAAUGGACCAAUUUCCGAGGUGUUGAGCUUUAUACGCACCGAAUGUGAUGAAGUCUGUGUGUGUGUGUGCUUGUUUGUUUGUAUAAGUGUACAUGUUUUCAUGUUUCCGACGCCAUCAAUCUCCAAACCGAUGGGCCAAUCCUUCAAUGCCAAAGGUGAUGAGGGGCACUUUGUUGAUUGUAAAAUCAAUGCCACGGUUCUCCUGGCCGAUGGUUCCCACAGCGUAGAUUUCUGGCUCCUGGCUUCCCGCAAGACAGCUUGAUUUUGCUGUUAUUUCAUUCUUCCCCUGUAUUUCACUCCACACCAUUGGUAAUUUCCCCAGACGAAUCUAUCAAGUGGAUGAUAUUUUAGUAUUCAAUGGUAUGUUAUUCAUAUCAUCCAUCCGUUAGACUCUGAGGGUAUGACAUUGGGAUGCUGUUAUGGGGGGGGAUUAUUUCUGUGUGCACUGGCUGUUGAGUUUAGUGUAUUUGUCUUUAAGGGUUUGUCUACCCACACAUUAACCCAAGGCCAUCAGACAUGGAUCGCAUCAAUGCAGUGCUUCACUUUUACUCCUCUUCAUUCUACUCGUGCAAUUGAUGGGGAUAAGCCAUAGGUUUUAGGGUUGGUGGGACAGCUUGGAAGUCAUGAGCCCAAAAUGACACCGCAGCGGACAGUUCUAUUAGAUGCACGACUGCCUCGGCCUCCGUAUAAGCCAAAGGUUUAUUUAGAUAAUGCAUAUAAUUAUCUGCAAUUAUUCAUACAAGGGUCUUAAGGAACACAUUUUAUAAUUGGGAACAUUGGUAUUGAACUUGUUCAUGCAUAUUGAAGUAAUAGUGCCAAAUAGUACAGAUGGCCGCAAUGAAAACCAUGUAUUUUCCUGUCCACAUCUGACUGAAGCCUUUAUUUCCUGGAAACCCGGUGGUUUUACUAUUUUUGGUAGCUUGUAGCCCAGCGGACAGUUUUCAGCCUGUCUGUUCACAGGCUGUUCAACCUUGUACGCAGGAAAAAGUGAAUUCCAUGGGGAAGAUAUUGCCGUCCACUAAUGACAGCAUUCAGCGCAUUCCUCGACCUCAGAUGAGAGCAGAUACUCAGGCGCUCAGAGGAACCUCCUUGGUGCUCCUCCCCGGCCUCGGGCCCACUGGAUUUGAGCACAAACCGACAGCAGAAGACAGGGAAGUUAGAGGAUUACAUUGAAUGGGUCCGCUGGCUGCUGCACAGACGUGUAUUGGAGCAUGGGUGUGCCGUGUGACCUGGAGGCUGCGGGGCCUGGGAGAAAGAACAAAGCAGCUCAUGCUUUCAAAUGCCUUGUUUGUGCUCUCGAUGGAACAACUCACUCUCUAUUUAUUAAGGUUUCUUUUUUCUGUCUCCCACCACCGAAAUAUAGCCACUCCUUAAAAGGUUCUAGAAGCUGGAUUCAGGGUUGAUAAAUUAAAGAACUGCGUUGUGCCCAUGUGGAUAGCUAAUGUUCACCGGUUGAUUGUGGAGCAAAUGUAUCAGAUAUUUCAAUACACAUUAGAGACAUUUAGUCAUUUGUACUCCUCUGCCUGUCACAGUUUGGGUUCACGUCCUGUUUUAUUUUGUAGUUUUCUGCCUUGUCUCCCUGGGUAACUUCACUUCCUGCCUUGUCCUGUCUUCCCCUGUGAUUGUCUGUCAUGUUAUGAUUGUUUCCACCUGUGUCCAAUCACCUGCACCUCCCUAGUGUAGUUAAGCCAUGUGUGUCUCUUGUCGCGUCAUUGUUGAAUAUACUGAAUGUCCAUGUCAGAGUGUUCUUGGUCCCUGUCUGCAUUUUUGCCCCUUGGCCUUUUGCUUUUUUUGGAAUUUUUGACCAUUAAAGUCUAUUUUUGAAACUCUGCGUUUGAGUCCUGCCUUCCCCGCGGUCGUGACACUUCCGAACGAAAGCUAUACCGAUUGUAGCAUUUGCUUAGGAGCUGAGAUGUUGGAAUAAAUUAGACGUUGUCCUGUGCACAAAAGCAGACUAGUUAACUGAUACAGCUUCAGCUUUGUGAAUGUUAUGAC
ensembl:lncRNA